rnacentral:lncRNA from 1 species
AGGUGAGUUCAUACCCCUACAUUUUCAUGUUUUCUCAAGUUUUUAGGGGGGGAAUACAAGUUAAAACAUUAAGAACAUAACUACAUUUUUCUAACAGCUUUCAUCAGAAAAGUUCAACUCCAUUCACGGACUGUUUUGGACAUCUUAAACAUUUUUGUUUUCAAAACUGUUUUAGGUGCAUAUAGUUCCACUUCUUAGCUUUAAAAUGACUACUUGCACAUCUCCAUACGAUUUUUCUACAAUUUAUGGUGAUUUUUACAAAACUGCCUAUCAUUCCAAGCACCAAUCCGGACCAGUCUGUGAUUAUGGACUUUUUCACCCAAGUUGGAGGUCAUUAAAAAUCAUGAUAAAAAUUAUGAGUAAACUAGACACAUUUUGGGAACUCUCAGAAUUUACGGAUUUAGUUUUCGACUUCGUAUGAUUUUUCUAUGGCUUUUCUAAAACAGUGCAGGAAGGUCUAAUUUAGUUAACAUCAUAUAAUUUUCAUAACACCUUGUAACAUGUUGAGCAAGGUGUAUAUUAUUACGUGUUCAUGUAUAUUUGCAAUAUACGACAUUCUUGUGUUAGUAUCUAGACAUAAACCUGUUAACAAAUGGAUUUUUACUAGACAAAGCAUAGAUUACACAAAGCGUUAUUAUUGAAGUAUACCCAUUACACACAAACGUUAAAUAAACUAUGUUAAGUAAAAAUUACGUACUUUACUGUUACUACCUUCGUUUUGCCAAACUAUAAUAGGUAUAGUUUACGAUGGAUUUCAAAAUGCAUACAUUACAAAAAGGAAACUUUCAUUAUGAUUAAGUGUAAAUUCGUUAAUAACUUUGUGAGACAUCCUCUUCACAUAAAUCAUAAGUCCUGUAUUGUAACCAGAGUCUCCUGGAAGGAGAGUGUGAUAGUUGUAUAUAGAUCUAUAUUGGGCUUGACAACCCACACCAGAGCUGCUCGCAACAGCUAGACCGGCAGGUCUGUGGUGACAAGUGUCAUUUCAGUUCUACGACGCCCGAAGAACGUCGUAUUCAGGCCACCUAGGUCAUAGUAUGGUUAUAAUAGACAUCCUCUUCACAUAAAUCAUAAGUCCUGUAUUGUAACCAGAGUCUCCUGGAAGGAGAGCGUGAUAGUUGUAUAUAGAUCUAUAUUGGGCUUGACAACCCACACCAGAGCUGCUCGCAACAGCUAGACCGGCAGGUCUGUGGUGACAAGUGUCAUUUCAGUUCUACGACGCCCGAAGAACGUCGUAUUCAGGCCACCUAGGUCAUAGUAUGGUUAUAAUAGCUCACAGAAAGUAUUAACAAACUUAAGAAUAUACGAGAGUUUCAUCGAUAUCAUACGCGUUUGUGUUGAAAUAAACACACAUUAUUUUCUGUAAAUAAGAAAGUAUUAACAAACUUAAGAAUAUACGAGAGUUUCAUCGAUAUCAUACGCGUUUGUGUUGAAAUAAACACACAUUAUUUUCUGUAAAUAAGAAAGUAUUAACAAACUUAAGAAUAUACGAGAGUUUCAUCGAUAUCAUACGCGUUUGUGUUGAAAUAAACACACAUUAUUUUCUGUAAAUAAGAAAGUUUACUCAUACAUUUCAGUCUUUGGAUACAAGACUACAUUAUUCAUUUUAAGGAAAAUAUCGGAUUUUUCUGGAACAACUAUACAAUUACAUGACGAGCUUUUUCAUAAUUAUAUACAAAGACUUAUGAACUCACCAACCUUUGUGUUGACACUUUUCAAAACUACUUGUAUUCUCAGGAAUUCAGUGAAAACAGGAAAUCAACAACGUUUUGAGGAUGGGACGAUAAAUCGUCAAACAGUUCAUUUUGAUUCAUAAUGUAAUUGAUUCGAAUCAUGUAAACAUAUACUUUGGUGUAACUUUUUUUUCAAUUAUAUUUAUGAUGGUUGUAUUUACUUUGAGCACUAUUAUACUCGUUGUUGUGAUACCCUACAUGAAGUCCUCCACCCCCGGACGUUUCCGCCAUCCUUGGUUUGGGGGUGUG